rnacentral:rRNA from 1 species
CCUACGGGUGGCAGCAGUGGGGAAUAUUGCACAAUGGGGGAAACCCUGAUGCAGCGACGCCGCGUGAGUGAAGAAGUAUUUCGGUAUGUAAAGCUCUAUCAGCAGGGAAGAAAUAAAGUCCUUCGGACUUUGGACGGUACCUGACUCAGAAGCCCAGGCUAACUACGUGCCAGCAGCCGCGGUAAUACGUAGGGGGCAAGCGUUAUCCGGAUUUACUGGGUGUAAAGGGAGCGUAGACGGCAGCGCAAGUCUGGAGUGAAAGCCCAUGGCUUAACCAUGGAACUGCUUUGGAAACUGUGCAGCGGGAGUGCAGGAGAGGUAAGCGGAAGUCCUAGUGUAGCGGUGAAAGGCGUAGAUAUUAGGAGGAACACCAGUGGCGAAGGCGGCUUACUGGACUGUAACUGACGUUGAGGCUCGAAAGCGUGGGGAGCAAACAGGAUUAGAUACCCGGGUAGUC